rnacentral:rRNA from 1 species
UUAAGCCAUGCGAGUCGAGAGGUGUAAGACCUCGGCAUACUGCUCAGUAACACGUGGAUAACCUGCCCUAUGGUGGAGGAUAACCCCGGGAAACUGGGGAUAAUACUCCAUAGAUUAGAGAAACUGGAAUGUUCUUUAAUCGAAAGUUCCGGCGCCAUAGGAUGGAUCUGCGGCCGAUUAGGUAGUUGUUGGGGUAACGGCCCAACAAGCCUGUAAUCGGUACGGGUUGUGGGAGCAAGAGCCCGGAGAUGGAAUCUGAGACACGAUUCCAGGCCCUACGGGGCGCAGCAGGCGCGAAAACUUUACAAUGCAGGAAACUGUGAUAAGGGAACCCCGAGUGCCCGUAUACGCGGGCUGUCCAGGUGUCUAAAACGCAUCUGAAGAAAGGGCCGGGCAAGACCGGCGCCAGCCGCCGCGGUAAUACCGGCGGCUCGAGUGGUGACCACUUUUAUUGGGCUUAAAGCGUUCGUAGCUGGACUCUUAAGUCUCUUGGGAAAUCCCGCGGCUUAACCGUGGGGCGUUUAAGAGAUACUGAGAGUCUAGGAACCGGGAGAGGUAAGAGGUACUUCGGGGGUAGAAGUGAAAUUCUGUAAUCCUCGAGGGACCACCGAUGGCGAAGGCAUCUUACCAGAACGGCUUCGACAGUGAGGAACGAAAGCUGGGGGAGCGAACGGGAUUAGAUACCCCGGUAGUCCCAGCC